UACGGAGGGGGGCUAGCGUUGUUCGGAAUUACUGGGCGUAAAGCGCACGUAGGCGGCUUUGCAAGUUAGAGGUGAAAGCCCGGGGCUCAACUCCGGAAUUGCCUUUAAAACUGCAUCGCUAGAAUUGUGGAGAGGUAAGUGGAAUUCCGAGUGUAGAGGUGAAAUUCGUAGAUAUUCGGAAGAACACCAGUGGCGAAGGCGACUUACUGGACACAUAUUGACGCUGAGGUGCGAAGGCGUGGGGAGCAAACAGG
rnacentral:rRNA from 1 species